CUCCUGCAAAGAUACUAUAACUGCAGUUUAUGGUUCCAGUUCAGAAGAACUUAAGAAUUUCAAUCGGACUAUAAGAAAUACUUAAUAGUCACUUGGAAUGAGCUAGUUCUUUUGAUGAUACCUGGAGGCAUAUUCCAUUGUCAUCCUUCCUCCCAUGUUGUGCAGCGAAUGCUAUUUAUUAUGCGUACAAGUAUUGGCAAAGGCAAACAGAAGAUAGGCAAUUGUUUAACGAGGUUGGGAUCUUCCAUUUCCAGGAUAGAAGGAUUCAUUCCCAGUAUGUGUUUCUCACUGACGAUUAGUAUGACGGCGAUUACGAUUAUCCUUAUGAUCAGUACCCGCCACCGAUCUGGUUAGUCCAGGGCUCGCUUUAAUAUCCAAAAAAAAUGAGAAAGCUGACCUGAGAUUGGAGUAGUUUGCUUGAGAAUAUAUCUAAUGUUGCACUAUUUAUUUCCUUUUAUAUAUCUUUCUUUCUUUGCCCAAGAAAUUCUUAAAGUUACAUGAGUAUUAGUCUCCUAUCAAUGUCUUUAGAAGCACCAAUAGAACAGUUGAAUUGUGAUCACUUGGUUCAUGAAUUGAUGUUGUUUGAUGUAUGUAUGAUGAAGAGUUCUUAAAUCGUGUCUCUUUGUUGGUUAA